rnacentral:lncRNA from 1 species
AAAGUCGAGUUUGCGUGUUUUUGACUCAGUCGCAUUUGAUCCAAGACAUGACAAAGUCUAUGAGUUCAAUAAAUUUCUCUUAAAUGUUGUUGUCUUCCGUCCCAUCAACUGUCAGAGGCUAACUACUCCCACCAAAGGCCUCGUACUCAAAUAGACUAAUCUGAUUUCAUUGUAAGACUUUUCUUGAAUAUAAUCCCAAUAUAUAAACAUAAAACGUGUAUGCACAGUUAUAGUUGAAUUACACUAUUAUUCAUUUGCUCUAGCCUUGAAGAAUAUCCCAUGGCUAUUACAAAAAAUCAAUCAGGCUGCUGGUAUGUUGAGUUCACAGUG